AGUGAACGCUGGCGGCAGGCCUAAUACAUGCAAGUCGAACGGCAGCACAGCAGAGCUUGCUCUGUGGGUGGCGAGUGGCGGACGGGUGAGGAAUACGUGGGAAUCUGCCCAGUCGUGGGGGAUAACGUAGGGAAACUUACGCUAAUACCGCAUGCGCCCUUCGGGGGAAAGCCGGGGACCUUCGGGCCUGGCGCGAUUGGAUGAGCCCACGUCGGAUUAGCUAGUUGGCGGGGUAACGGCCCACCAAGGCGACGAUCGAUAGCUGGUCUGAGAGGAUGAUCAGCCACACUGGAACUGAGACACGGUCCAGACUCCUACGGGAGGCAGCAGUAGGGAAUAUUGGACAAUGGGCGAAAGCCUGAUCCAGCAAUGCCGCGUGAGUGAUGAAGGCCUUAGGGUUGUAAAGCCCUUUUACCCGGGAUGAUAAUGACAGUACCGGGAGAAUAAGCUCCGGCUAACUCCGUGCCAGCAGCCGCGGUAAUGUACAGUGU
rnacentral:rRNA from 1 species